GGGGUUGUAGCUCAGUGGUAGAGUGCUUGCCUCCCAUGCAUGAGACCCUGGGUUCCAUCCCCAGCACCACA
rnacentral:tRNA from 1 species